AUACUUACCUGGCAGGGGAGACACCCUAAUCACGAAGGCGAUUUUCCCAGGGCCAGGCUUAUCCAUUGCACUGCGGAUGUGCUGACCCCUGCGAUUCCCCCAAAUGUGGGAAACUCGACCGUGUAAUUUGUGGUAGUGGGGACUGCAUUUGCGCUUUCCCCUG
ensembl:snRNA U1 U1 spliceosomal RNA